GCUCGCUUCCGGAAGUCGCCUGAUGUUACACAGGAGGCAAAAUGGCUGCUGUGGGCUUGUCAAACAAACACUGAAUCAAUCAGAACAGGCGGCUGCCAGCAUCGGGUGACCGAUACACAAGGCAUGAAACAUAAACGGGUAAGAAGUUAAUCUUCAAAAGAAGAUGCAUGUACUAUGCCAGCUUUACUGAACAUUUCAUCAUACAUUGUACCCUGUCAUCAAAUCAAAAUGAAACAAGUACUGGAACAUGCAUUGGACAGAGCAGAGUACAUUGUAGAAAGUGCCCAACAGCGUCCUCCUAAGAGAAGAAAUUCCACAAGUGCAAGGAAAUCACUUAAUCAGAAACUCUAUGAUUUGUAUUUGGAAGAAUGUGAAAAGGAGCCUGAAAUAAAGAAACUGAGGAGAAAUGUUAAUCUACUGGAAAAGCUUGUGAUGCAGGAGACACUGUCGUGUCUUGUAGUGAAUCUUUACCCUGGAAAUGAGGGAUAUUCAUUGAUGCUCAGGGGAAAAAAUGGAACUGACUCAGAAACUAUCCGGCUACCCUAUGAGGAGUGUGAACUUCUGGAUUAUCUUGAUGCUGAAGAACUGCCUCCAAUCCUUGUCGAUUUAUUGGAAAAGUCUCAGGUCAAUAUUUUUCAUUGUGGGUGUGUCAUAGCUGAAAUUAGAGAUUAUCGACAAUCUGGUAACACUAAAAUACCAAUAUAUAAAACUAGGCACAUACUGUUGCGGCCAACAAUGCAGACCCUGGUUUGUGAUGUCCAUGCAAUAACAAGUGACAACCACAAGUGGACGCAGGAUGAUAAGUUGCUUCUGGAGAGUCACUUAAUCUUGGCAACUGCAGAACCAUUAUGUCUGGAUCCCUCCAUAUCAGUCACAUGCACUGUCAACAGAUUGCUUUAUAACAAGCAAAAAAUGAACACUUACUCAAUGAAAAGAUGCUUCAAGAGAUUUUCCCGGCCUUCUUUAAAUAGACAGUUAGAAAUGGCCAAUUAUCCAACACCACCACAGUUGAAAUUGUUUGACUAUAUACAAAAAAGAAAGGAAAGAAAAACACCUCAGUCAGUGGAUCUUAAAAUUUCCAGAGCAGGCAACUGUGUGGAUAUGUGGAAACAAAAUAGCUGUCUGUUAUUGGCACCAACAGAGCUUGAUGUGGAAAAGUAUGCUACUGUGGAGAAAUCUGUUAAGCUUGAAGAAUCUCAACCAUCUGUCUGGCCAGCUCAUGAUAUUAAAGAUGAUUACAUCUUUGAAUGUGAAGUGGGUGCACCCUUCCCAAAGACGAAAGUGACCGUUUAUCAGUGUGCAGGAGAUCCCUUGUUCUAUGGUAAAAUUCAAGUAGCAAAGGAUUUAUCAAGAGAUGAUGAAAAUGAAUUCCACCUCAUUCACCCCCCAUUCCUCAUUGGCUCAAAGAUUGAUGCUGACCGAUUUAUUAAACAGUACAAGGAUGUUUACCAUAAAGAUGCCAAAUGCUCUAUAAAGAUGUCUCACAACUCUGGUGGAUCAGCAAGUCAUGGCCAGCUCUCUCCUUCAAAGGAAGCAGAACCUGAUGGUAUUUCUGGGUCAGUUCAGUCCUCAGUACUGGGAAAGGGAGUGAAACACAGACCACCACCUAUUAAACUACCCUCUGGUUCAGGAAGCAACUCCUCAGCAAAUGCUUAUAGUUCCCAGCAGUCAGGUAGUCACCUGAAAUCUCCAACUCCUCCUCCAUCUAAGAGUCAGAGCCUCUCUCGUAAACACUCAGAACUGAAUCAAGUAAACCUGCUUUCACCAGCUGCUCUUUCACCAGUGGGAUCCUCACAGAGGUCUCGGGGUGGUGGAGCGUAUCCUGGCAACAAUGUGCGCAAGGCAGGACUACACCACGGACGAGAUGCAAGUCCGUCACAGGGAUCUGGAACUCCCAAGCCAUCUACUCCAACACCCACUAACACGCCAUCAUCUACUCCUCAUCCUCCAGACAUCCAAACGUCCACACCAUCUAUUACCCCAUCGGCAACUCCCACACCACAGGACUCUUCAAUGAACUCACAACCAGCCCUUUUGACAUCUUUUGCCCAGCAGCAGAUGGCACUGAGUCAGACUCUUCCAGUCAUGACUAUUCCCUUGGCUACCAUGGGUACCUCAAUCACCACAGGCACAUCUACAUCUCAGGUCAUGACUAGUCCAGCUGGCCUAAACUUCAUCAAUGUUGUUGGAUCUGUGUGUGCACCCCAAAUGAUGAGUGGAUCUAAUCCCAUGUUGGGCUGCAACCCUGGAACUAUCACCUCUACAGGGAUUAAUCUCAGUGGGAUUUUGCCACCUGGAGGACUUGUGCCUGGUGCAUUACCAACUAUGCAGUCUGGAGCACAAUCAGGUUAAUGUUGUUUGCAUUUUAUGAGCUUUUCUUUUUAAAUCUGUUGCAUUACAGUUUUCUGCUACCUUUUGCCUCUUUUACUGAAGAAACUGUAAAUAGUUGGUCAACCAUGGCUUCUGUUAUAUCAGUAAUAUAUUUCUGUAUGAAAACUUGAGAUAAAUAUUUUUUUUUCCCCCCUCAGCCAUCACUACAAAUUACAUGGGGAAAGUAAUAUAUAAAAGUAUCAUUUUUGGCUGGAGUAUUCCUUUAAAUGUAACAGUUAUUUCUGAAUUUAAAAGGUGUCUUCAGGCAGCUUACAGUAGCGGUCUGUGAUACAGCAGACGAAACAUGCAACAAAAGCCAUAACACUUACUGAAUGCAUAAUCUUUGAAGCGAUUUUAAUUUGAGAAAACAUACAUUCCACAUUACUGAGGUAUUCUUAUGAAAACAAAACAAAGUAUAUUAUUUUUAAUUACAGAUUCUAUGCACUAUCCUACUGGAAGGGAGAAUACAUGUUCUCUGCUCUGUGGGUAUAGUUCUUAUGUAAAUAAUAACCAGUAUAAUGGAAGUUAAUGAUGCGCCCUGGAAGCACUGAGGUUGAAUAUAACAAAUAAAAGCUCAUAUCUGUAGCUGUUUAGUACAGUAUUUCCAUUGAGCUGACAUUUUUCAAAUAUUUGCAUAAUGGAGAUGCAAAAUAA